UUCGCCAGGGAACAACGAGCCCCAGCUUAAAACCCAAAGGACUUGGCGGUGCUUUAGACCCCCCUAGAGGAGCCUGUUCUAGAACCGAUUCCCCCCGUUCAACCUCACCCUCUCUUGUUUUCCCCGCCUAUAUACCGCCGUCGUCAGCUUACCCCUUGCCGGCCCAACAGUAAGCAGAAUUGGCACAGCCCAAAACGUCAGGUCGAGGUGUAGCGUACGAGAGGGGAAGAAAUGGGCUACAUUUACUGGACCAGUAAACACGAAUGCUGUACUGAAACGUACAUCUGAAGGAGGAUUUAGCAGUAAGGAGGCAGCAGAGCGCUCUCCUGAAAAUGGCCCUGAAGCGAGCACACACCGCCCGUCACUCUCCCCGAAAAUCCGCGAGACAUUAAUAAUAAGACCAUGCCCAAAACGAAGGGGAGGCAAGUCGUAACAAGGUAAGUGUACCGGAAGGUGCACUUGGAAAAACU
rnacentral:rRNA from 1 species